rnacentral:sRNA from 1 species
UCCCGAAGCAGCCAUGCCCCGAGAGGACCU